AGGUGAGGUAGAGGCGCGAUGUCUAAUAGUACCUAUAUGGAGGUCGGAAACCUAAGAAGUAUAGGGAAAGGAGCCAUCGCCGAAGUCUUAGGCACCCAAAGUCUAAGGCUGGGCCUGCAUCGAAUAGGUGUAGGACUGUCAUCAGGAUAAAAAAAGCCCAUUAUCCUGAUGGAGAGCUAUCUCACGC
rnacentral:ncRNA from 2 species